rnacentral:rRNA from 1 species
GCUUCCCUCUUUCUUCGUGCCUAAUACAUGCAAGUCGAGCGAACAGACGAGGAGCUUGCUCCUCUGACGUUAGCGGCGGACGGGUGAGUAACACGUGGAUAACCUACCUAUAAGACUGGGAUAACUUCGGGAAACCGGAGCUAAUACCGGAUAACAUGUUGAACCGCAUGGUUCAACAGUGAAAGACGGUCUUGCUGUCACUUAUAGAUGGAUCCGCGCCGCAUUAGCUAGUUGGUAAGGUAACGGCUUACCAAGGCAACGAUGCGUAGCCGACCUGAGAGGGUGAUCGGCCACACUGGAACUGAGACACGGUCCAGACUCCUACGGGAGGCAGCAGUAGGGAAUCUUCCGCAAUGGGCGAAAGCCUGACGGAGCAACGCCGCGUGAGUGAAGAAGGUCUUCGGAUCGUAAAACUCUGUUAUUAGGGAAGAACAAAUGUGUAAGUAACUAUGCACGUCUUGACGGUACCUAAUCAGAAAGCCACGGCUAACUACGUG